rnacentral:rRNA from 1 species
GACGUAGGGCGCGAGCGUUGUCCGGAUUUAUUGGGCGUAAAGAGCUCGUAGGCGGUGUGUCGCGUCGGCCGUGAAAACCUGCAGCUUAACUGUGGGCUUGCGGUCGAUACGGGCAUCACUGGAGUUCGGCAGGGGAGACUGGAAUUCCUGGUGUAGCGGUGAAAUGCGCAGAUAUCAGGAGGAACACCGGUGGCGAAGGCGGAUCUCUGGGCCGUAACUGACGCUGGAGGAGCGAAAGCAUGGGGAGCGAACAGG